GGGGCUAUAGCUCAGCUGGGAGAGCGCCUCGUUCGCAACGAGGAGGUCGUCGGUUCGAGCCCGACUAGCUCCACCA
rnacentral:tRNA from 1 species